rnacentral:rRNA from 1 species
AGAGUUUGAUCCUGGCUCAGAGUGAACGCUGGCGGUAGGCCUAACACAUGCAAGUCGAACGGCAGCACAGUAAGAGCUUGCUCUUAUGGGUGGCGAGUGGCGGACGGGUGAGGAAUACAUCGGAAUCUACUUUUUCGUGGGGGAUAACGUAGGGAAACUUACGCUAAUACCGCAUACGACCUACGGGUGAAAGCAGGGGACCUUCGGGCCUUGCGCGAUUGAAUGAGCCGAUGUCGGAUUAGCUAGUUGGCGGGGUAAAGGCCCACCAAGGCGACGAUCCGUAGCUGGUCUGAGAGGAUGAUCAGCCACACUGGAACUGAGACACGGUCCAGACUCCUACGGGAGGCAGCAGUGGGGAAUAUUGGACAAUGGGCGCAAGCCUGAUCCAGCCAUACCGCGUGGGUGAAGAAGGCCUUCGGGUUGUAAAGCCCUUUUGUUGGGAAAGAAAUCCAGCCGGUUAAUACCUGGUUGGGAUGACGGUACCCAAAGAAUAAGCACCGGCUAACUUCGUG